rnacentral:rRNA from 1 species
AAACGACAUCGAAAGCUUGCUUUUGAUGGGCGUCGACCGGCGCACGGGUGAGUAACGCGUAUCCAACCUGCCCACCACUUGGGGAUAACCUUGCGAAAGUAAGACUAAUACCCAAUGAUAUCUCUAGAAGACAUCUGAAAGAGAUUAAAAGAUUUUAUCGGUGAUGGAUGGGGGAUGCGUCUGAUUUAGCUUGUUGGCGGGGUAACGGCCCACCAAGGCGACGAUCAGUAGGGGUUCUGAGAGGAAGGUCCCCCCACAUUGGAACUGAGACACGGUCCAAACUCC